GAUGAAGAACGCAGCGAAAUGCGAUAAGUAAUGUGAAUUGCAGAAUUCAGUGAAUCAUCGAAUCUUUGAACGCACAUUGCCCUCUGGUAUUCCGGGGGGCAUGCCUGUUCGAGCGUCAUUAUAACCACUCAAGCUCUCGCUUGGUAUUGGAGUUCGCGAUCUCGCGGCUCCUAAAAUCAGUGGCGGUGCCUGUCGGCUCUACGCGUAGUAAUACUCCUCGCGAUUGAGUCCGGUAGGUUUACUUGCCAGCAACCCCCAAUUUUUACAGGUUGACCUCGGAUCAGGUAGGGAUACCCGCUGAACUUAAGCAUAUCAAUAAGCAGAGGA
rnacentral:misc_RNA from 1 species